UACGUGAGCUCCGAGCGUUAUCCGGAAUCAUUGGGCGUAAAGGGUCUGUAGGCGGUUAUAUUAGUCUUUUGUCAAAGCACCGAGCUCAACUCGGGACAGGCAAAAGAAACGGUAUAACUAGAGGAUGACAGAGGUAUGUGGAACUAAUGGUGUAGGGGUGAAAUCCGUUGAUAUCAUUGGGAACACCAAAUGCGAAGGCAACAUACUGGGUCAUUCCUGACGCUGAGAGACGAAACCCUGGGUAGCGAAUGGG
rnacentral:rRNA from 1 species